GGUAUUAUUCAGAUUAAUAUUUGAAUUUUGAAUGAAUCCAUGACAAGUAUAGUUUAACUUAUUAAAUUUUCGAAGAAUUGAGUUAUGAUUCUGUGGUAAUUUAAAACUUCACUAAACUCUGCCGUCAAUGUGACAGCUAUGAACUAUCGUUUUUAAAUUUCUGUUGUAUUAAUUUCUUAUUUAUCUCAUCACACAUGUUUAAUUUUAGCCUAGAAGGGAAAAAUUCAAAAGGGGUUCGCAAAUAAAUUACAUUUCUGCAGGUUAAUUGAUUGAUAUAAAUUGUGAGAUAGUCACGGAUAUGGGCAAACGAAAUAAAAAUCGAGAUAAUAUGACGGCUGCCGGUAUGGUUGAAAUUACAGAAUCAAAUACUGAGAAUCAGGAAAAAGUUGUUCAAGAAGAGAAGCAAAAUAAAAGAAAGAAAACCAAACCUAGCAUUAGUUCAGAUAUUGAUGCUACGGAUAAGUCUAAGAAGACAAUAGAUACAAAUCAAGCAUUGGCUACUGAAGAUAUAAAUUCUGAGAAAAGAGAUGAAAAUUAUAAACAAACAAGUACAUAUAAGAAUAAAAAGAAAAAAAGAGAAA